UAUCUUGAAAACGUGAAGCUGCAAUAAUGUGGUGAGGGCGGGAACGUUGGACGUUGGAGAGGAAGUCAAGCCGUUUUUCCUUCUGCAGAAGACAUUUUGAAGGGGAUGCGAUUGUGCAUGCAAACGCAAAAGACGAAAAAUUAGCUCCACCAACUAGAAAAAUCUGUAAUAUGUCUAUAGACAGUGAGAGUGCAGGUUAUAAGUAUGCUGAAGGACUGAUGACCAACAAAGCUUUUGGGAUAGCCAUCAAAAACCAUGCAGGCAAAACAUGAUUACCAUUUGGUGAUUCUUCUGGACAAAAUGCAACAGGACGAAGAAGAAGAAGAUGACUGUAGGGAGAGUGUGCAGGACAACCUACAGCAACUUUGCGAGGCUGCCCUGCACCCUCAAAUAAACAGAGAAAACAUAGUGGAAGAAUGCAAGAUAGCAAGCAGGAUCAACUCCAAAGAACUGACUGGACAAUGUAUAGAUUUAUAAUAGAAAAAUUUAUCUUAAUCUAUCAGAAAAUUUUAAGUCAGGUUAUCCAAGAAGACCCAGAAGUGACUACGAAUGAAUUGUUAAUCAGGAGGAAUUUUUGUU